UGCACUGCGUGGUAUCUGCACCCAGCAGCGAACUCCUGCUGGCGUGUUCAAAGGUCAGUGCCAUAGUAAUUCAGUAUUUGGCAUCGUUGGUUUUCUUGGCUUUGUGCUUGUUAAACCUGGUAUUUCUAUUGAUACAGUG